ACUGCCAUAACAGCCAUAGCAGAAGCGCUCACAUCGCGGCCCUGUCAGAUUCUAACAAAUCUGCAAAUUCUGCU
rnacentral:ribozyme from 1 species